rnacentral:rRNA from 1 species
GUCCCGUAACGAGCGCAACCCUUGUCCUUAGUUACCAGCACGUAAUGGUGGGCACUCUAAGGAGACUGCCGGUGACAAACCGGAGGAAGGUGGGGAUGACGUCAAGUCAUCAUGGCCCUUACGGCCUGGGCUACACACGUGCUACAAUGGUCGGUACAGAGGGUUGCCAAGCCGCGAGGUGGAGCUAAUCCCAGAAAACCGAUCGUAGUCCGGAUCGCAGUCUGCAACUCGACUGCGUGAAGUCGGAAUCGCUAGUAAUCGCGAAUCAGAAUGUCGCGGUGAAUACGUUCCCGGGCCUUGUACACACCGCCCGAAA